UGGGGAAUAUUGCACAAUGGGCGCAAGCCUGAUGCAGCCAUGCCGCGUGUGUGAAGAAGGCCUUCGGGUUGUAAAGCACUUUCAGCGAGGAGGAAGGUGGUGAACUUAAUACGUUCAUCAAUUGACGUUACUCGCAGAAGAAGCACCGGCUAACUCCGUGCCAGCAGCCGCGGUAAUACGGAGGGUGCAAGCGUUAAUCGGAAUUACUGGGCGUAAAAGCGCACGCAGGCGGUUUGUUAAGUCAGAUGUGAAAUCCCCGGGCUCAACCUGGGAACUGCAUUUGAAAACUGGCAAGCUAGAGUCUCGUAGAGGGGGGUAGAAAUUCCAGGUNUAGCGGUGAAAUGCGUAGAGAUCUGGAGGAAAUACCGGUGGCGAAGGCGGCCCCCUGGACGAAGACUGACGCUCAGGUGCGAAAAGCGUGGGGAGCAAAACAGGAUUAGAUA
rnacentral:rRNA from 1 species